rnacentral:lncRNA from 1 species
UUUUUUUAUUUUUUUUCUUACUUUUUAAAAUUUUCCGCUUUCUUUUUUCAUUCUUUAAAUAAUUUGGUACAUCAAAAGAGAUUCAAAUAUUUAAAAACGAUUUUUUAUAUAAAAUGUUUGAUAAGUCAUAAUUUUUUUGUGGAUUUAAAAAAUGUUUGCAAUUUUGGAAACAAAUGUUUGGAAAUGCAAAAAUGUUCAUGUUUUUUUAAAGUUCGUGCAUUAAACAAUGGUGAUGAAAUUGAACAAAAUGUUCGCCGAAAUUUUAUCUGUGACGCAACAAAAUGUUGUCAAGGCCUUUGGAGAUUAUGAUUUUUUUUCUCCCGUUGCAAUGCACGAGCCCUUUUGCUGGUAGACACUAAUGCAACUUCUCCUAUGACCAUUUUACUGGUCCUUAGCUGCUGCCCUUUUCCUUUUCAACAUCAUGUGCCACUUAUGCCACUAAUCACUCCACACUUCAUAAAGAUGCAUGUAUUUACUAUACUGUCCUCUUCCUUUUCCACAUCGUAUCACUUUUGCCACUGAUCCCUCCAAAGAUGCAUUGUAUAAUGUGUCUACUAAAAGAUCUCUUUCAAAUAUAAUAAUGUCUACAGAAAUAUACAAUGCGAAAUGACUCACUGAGCAUUAGUCACCGAGUAUAAUUUUUGCAGGGAAUGUCCAAAAAGCAUCCGAGUCACCUUGGGAUUGAAAGUUGGAACUGUUGAAUCCUUUCUCCUUUACAAAUAUGAAUAUGCUUUAGUUUUUAACUGCAACUGAAGUACUUUGAAGUUCCUACUUCCUUUUCUCUAGAGAGAUGAACAACCUGAGAUGAAUAAUACUACCAGUAUACAUGACUUUCCAUUCGUGCCAUAAUAAUGUUCAAGUGCUGGAUUAUUCAAAUAAAUGCCAAUAUAUGCUUUGAGUGGAUGCAUCAUGCAUUCUAAUAAGUACACAAGCACCUUGUGACUGAUAUACCUAAUUUGUUGAAAUAUAUGCUCUGCUGGUAUGAUGUAACCAACUUGUUAGACCUAAAAAGAGUUUGAUGCCAUUUUUUAACCUUGAUUAAAGUGAGUGACUUGUGUGGUAUGUACAUAGUAAAGCAUACAUAAAAUAUAUUUUGCUUAAGUGGAUUAUGGGUCCUAUCUGAACUAACCUUAUGACAGUGAGGGUUUGAUUAAUUAUCCUGAUGCUGAAUGUUUGACGUGUCUUGAUGGGCAAGUAGUGGUAUAUAAGCAAUCAUCUUUGAAGUUCUAACAAACGAUAGUAAUGGGCAACACAGCACCUUAUGCUGUUUCAUUUCUCUUAAGGUUUAUCUAUGGAGUUAUGCAUAUACUUACCAAAGCUGCUUUUAACCAAGGUACAAGUACAUACGUUCUUAAUUUCUACAGGCAUGCAAUAGCCACAAUGUUCUUACUGCCCAUUGCUUUUGCGAUUGAAAGGUAUGCAGAGUUUUGGUUUCUUAGUUACCUAGAUCUGGAUGUCAUCUAGGAAGCAUGCACUGAGAUUUAUUUUGUAGGAAAACUGCCCCACAAAUGUCAUACAAAGUCUGUCUGAAGCUAUUUGUGCAUGCAUUAUAUGGGUAGGUCAAAGUACGAGCCAGAAAUGUUUUUAUACAUUUGUUAUUCUUGUUUAUCAAAUGGCACUGUUAGAUUAAAAUAUUAUUUGCAACAGUGCAUUAUUUUCUCAUAUUUUUUCUGUUUUAUUGGGAUGAGAGUAUUAGUGUGAGAAUGGUGACAUGAAGUUGUUACAUAUCUAUCCAAUACCAUAACUGUAUCAUUAUGUUUGUUCUUAUCCAAACUUUAUAUGCUUGAAACUCUUUUGUGUGCCUUUGCAAUAUACAAACUUCCUUUAUUUCAUUAAUUCCUUGCUCGGUCAUUUUGGUUUUAGUGUAGUAUACUCAUCACCUUCAUCAAUGGCAAUCUGUCCUUUCCGGCAGAGAAUUUCAGUUUUACCAGAUUUAAUAUAUACUUCCAAUUGUUACACUAAUUGCAAAAAUUGUUGUUCAUUUUUGUGGGGAAAGUAGGUAUUUUCUUAGGUUAACUGAUCAACUUUCUACGGAAGUGUUGUGCAAAGCUCAGAAUUAUGGAAAUAGUUAUUGUAUUAACCAUACCAUCUUUUUUCCAUCGUACAAUAGACCCUUUGGUAUUUCUUAGUUAAACUGUUUCAUUUCUUUUAUUAAUGUUAUACAUCUUAUACUCUUGUUUCAUUUCCCCAGGAUGUCUGCUCCUUUUAACAUAUCAUGUGUUGGCCUCAAAUAUGCUUCAGCAGCUUCUGCUUCUGCAGUAAUAAAUCUCCUGCCAGUUUUAACUUUUAUUUUGGCUCUUCUGUUGGGGUAUGUGUUAUUAAUGAUAACUGAAUUACUUCCUAAGGCUAGUUUUUUCUUUGCCUUUUGGUAAAUACUCCUUCCGUCCCACAAUAUAAGAUGUUUUUGCAAGAUAUGUUAGCUUGCAAAAAUGUCUUAUAUUGUGAGACGGAGGGAGUACAAUUUAAAUAUGUCAUCAAACUAAGUGUGAGUGGGAGCAGAUGAUAUCACUAACUGAGUUAUGUGUGUGGAACGAUUGGAAGUAUCACCUAUAAGUGUUGUAAAGGGUGGAGAUAACACCUUUGAGUGGUAACUUUCUCUCUCAUUAAUUUUGCUGCCAUAAAAUAGUACAGUGAUUUAUAUUUAAUUAUAUAUAGUAGGAGUGCUAAUCAGUUCCUAUUGGUUAUGUUCAUCUGACAUUUGACCAACAUCCCUAACUUAUUAGGGUGUACCAAUUUUUUUAUCCGCACUAAUUGAGUACCAUUGUGAAAUUUGUUUAUUGCGCUUCUUUGAAUUUAGUAAAAACUAUUAGCUAAAUGCUUGUGCUGCUACGGAAGUUAUUUUCUGUUAUAUAUUACAGUUGUUAAAUGCUUCUGCAAGAUAGUCCAUGAGUUCGUACAAACUUUAGAAACAUCAUCUAAAAAAUAUGCAUUAGUCAAAUCAACCGUAUGUACAUCCUCUGAAAAAUGGAUGACAGCUGUGGUAAUUACUAAUAACUUAAGAAGUGAAUGCACGGCCACCAACUCUGAUCAUUACCAUUAGUAUUUAGUAGUCUAAACAUAUAUACUUUAGUGUAGAUGUGAGUGCAUUGAUGAACAUGGUGUAGUAAAGAUAGUGGGACUGAAAAUUAGUUUGACUUGCUUUAUAUACAAUGUGAACUUUUAUGAUAAAAAUUCCGUGUAAUAGGGAGUGAUUUGUUCUUCUCCUUAUGGUAGAAUGGAGUCUUUGCAAUUAAGGCGCUUCCAUGGGAUUAUGAAGGUUUCUGGUAUAGUGUUUUGUGCGGCUGGUGUUACUGUACUAACGUUAUACCAAGGACCGGAGCUCAAAUCUGUUGUCCAUUAUGCUCUUUUUCAUCACGCGAGUCAAGUUGAUACUCAUCCCUCAAGGAGCUGGAUAUUGGGAAUUCUCCUGCAGUCUCUUGCGACUGUAUUGUUUGCUCUUUGGACAGUGUUUCAGGUAUGCAUCUCGCUGUGUGCACAGGUUACACAAUCAAGUGUGUGCGGGCAUGUUGCGAUGCUAAUUUAUUCAUCCUAAAUUUAGCCUGCAUGUUGCUUUCUAGGGCCCAUUGCUGGAGGAGUAUCCAUCCAUACUGCUUAACACUAGCCUUCAGAUUGUCUUUGCGACUGUUCAAUCUUUUUUUAUGGCUCUAGUGAUGGAGAGAGACUUUUCAAGAUGGAAGCUGAGCUUGGAUGUAGGUCUUGUCGCUAUCGUCUAUUGUGUAAGUACAAGAAUCCCCUCAGGAGCAGCAAAUCAUUGAUUCAUUAGAAGACUGUUACCGUGGAAGUAGAAAACAAAAAUCCUAAUCUCUGUGAAAUUACUUCACUUGUAGGGCGUAUUUGUUUCCGCAUUGGUAAAUUACCUGCAAAUCUGGGUAAUCGGCCGGUGCGGCCCAGUAUUCCUGUCCAUGACAGUACCCCUAACUUUGGUUAUCACGGUCAUUCUGUCGCUACUCAUGGGAGAACCGGUUAGCCUUGGAAGGUUCAUUUCUUAAUGUUUUCUUGUUAGACAGAAAAACUACACCAAAAAUGAAAUUCUCUUGAAAUUUUUCCUCUGAUAAACAGUGUAAUUAGUGGAGCGCUGAUGGUUGGUGGUCUGUACAAUGUUCUCUGGGGGAAGAGAAUAGAGCAAGUAGCUCUCUGCAAGCAAGGAGGUGGCAGAGAACAUGCAGCAUGCUUUGAUUUGGAGGAACAAGAAAGCGGCGCACCAGUUCCAUCAACGCAGGAUUCAAUCAAGCCAGUGCCUGAUUCGAAAGACCCAAAUGAAACGGUGAGCAGCAAACGUUGUUAGGUGUAGAAGAGCUUUUGCCUUGGGUCUGCCCACCAGAAGCUGUUGACACAUCUGUAAUACUGCGUCCAUUUUUAUUUACUCCGCACAUUAGCUUUGACCAAAGUCAAACUUUAUAAGAUCUGAUCAAGUUUAUAGAAAAUAGUAUAAACUUUCAUAAUAAUAAAUAUAUGUUCAAUGUUAAUUCUAAUGGUACUGGUUUGGUAUUUGGAUUAAUAAUUGUUUGUAUAAAUUUGAUCGAAGUUCACAAAGUUUGAGUUGAGACAAAGCUAAUAUGUAGAGUAAAUGAAAACGGAGGGACUACUGUUUACUGCCGGUCAGCUAUAUAUAGCAGCUUUAAUUGCUUGUUCACGGCUUCAAGAAAGUCUUUGCUUUUGAGCUCCUGUUGUAGAGGAAAGGAGAUUCUGACCGUUGCAAACGCGUGCUCUCGCGACUCCGUGGUGACGCGACUGGUGACCCCGAGAAAGGUGCUCCCUGGGGCGGUGUCCCCAUGUGGUGAUGGUGGGGAGGGUCUGCCGGAGCUGGGAUGGCCACCGGCGGGGAGACAUGUGGGACGGAGCCACGAGUUAGCCGUUUUUGGGCGCUGGCUAGUGUCUUGGACGGAGGAAGAUUUGCGGCCGGAUGUUGACCUGAGCCUGGCCGCCACAGGAGGGAGGCAGACGCCGCCUUGUCGUGCUGGUGUUGUGGCAGAUGCAACAACUAGGUGGUAUUUGGCAGGGAGUGCUACUCAUCAGAUCUCGAAGUCGGACGGGGUGCUGGCCACGAACGUUGGCAUGCUGUUGGCAGUGUCGGAAGAGUUGAGCCAAGGUGAUAUCUAGGGUAUUCGAUGGUGGCAGCUUUGGCUUCUGGUUGGUCUUACGGAUGCGGAUUUUUACAACAUCUGCACCGGGGCCGCGUUAUCUCAGCGGUUGAAUUGUUGUGCUGUACCUCGAGAUGUCCGUCACAGAAUCCAGUUUUACGUACUCCUAUGAGGUAAUAGCACCCCAGGUACCCUAACUUGCACCCAACGUGAUGAUUUAGUAUCAAAGUUGCAAAACUUGACCAAACCAUACCUCAACUUGCAGCCAAUGUGAUGAUUUAGUCCCAGGCCAAUCAGAGCUCGCCAAUUGGCUGGACCGGUCAGCGCGCGCAGUUUUGCACAAAACCCCCUGCCGUUUCACUGAAUCAACCCGCAGUAUAGCACACCUGAAUUAAAUCUGUCGGAAUCGAGUUCACGUCCGGCCAAGAUCCAGCUCCACUCGUUCCCCAUCUGCCCCCUUGCCCCCUCAGCUCCAGCAUCAGCUUCUCGACGCCGCCAGCAAGCUCGCCGCCGCCGUCCAGGUCGCCCCCAUGGUAUCUUGGAGUGAAGGAUCGAGCUCGUCGUCCGACGGCUACUCUGUGACAAGUGAGGUUAGUUCUGUUGCAGUUAGGGAUUGAGCAAAAAUGGGGAAGGGUGUAUGUUCUUGAGUAGCAAAAUUUCAGCAUAGAUGAUGCCUGCCUCCUUGCUGACUAGAAUAUGUUGUAAACAAUGUUGUAGGCUCCUGCUCCUGCCACCGUUUUCUGCUCUGAGUGGAUAGGCCUUGCUCCAGAUCUUGCAGCUAGAUGUGAACACCAGUGUGUGUGUGAGAAGUUUGUGUGCUUUGAAUCAGUUGAUAGUGGAAGGAGGUAUCUUGCUUGUGCACAAAAGGUCAGUAGAUGUACCAAAACUUGCAAUGUGUCAUCUUACUUUGAUCUGUAUAAGAGUGUGCCAUGUAAAUGUGGAGGAGUGCAUUUUCAGUUAAGAGCAUCUAGUUUGUGAACUUAAUUGAAUCUUUGAGUUAACAGCAUCUUGUUAGUGAACUGAAAUGAAUUUAAAUGAAAUAACAUAACUUAACUGAAUUAGAAUGAAAUAGCUGAACUUAUCUGAAUUUAAAUUCAGUUAACUGAACUUAACUGAAUUCAAAUGAACUAACUGAAUUCUAUUCUUAUCUGUUAGGAAAUACCUAAAUGCAAGUUUGUGGAGUGGAUUGACCCUGAAUGGCCUGCCACUCUGAAGAUGAGUUUAGCCAGGGUUUGGGGCAUGUAUGAUGAUGAGAACAAGCUAAGGCUCAGGGAAAGUGUAGUUCUUGCUGAAGAAAAUUUUAGGGUUGUGAAAGAGAAGGAAAAGAUGGAAAAUGAUCUGAGGUUUUUUAAACUAGAUUUUGCUAAGAUGGUGGGUGACAAGGAGCAGGCAAUUACUGAAUUGGGCAAUGCAAGACUUGCUCUUUCUGACCUAAAGGAAGAGCUUGAGAAGAAGAAGAUGUCUGAUAAAUCUACCACUAGCAUUCAUCAGGUUCUGAGGGCUAAGGCAGACAAAGAGAGGGAUGAGAUGAAGCAACAGAUGGACAACAUGAAAGAAAAGUUGGACAAAGUGGUGUCACAGAGGGAUGAGCUGAAGAAGGAGAAGAAGAAACUAGAGUACAUGAUUGGUGAUCUAUUCAGGCACAAGGAGGAGACCAAGAGCAAGAUAAAGAGGUUGAAGGAGAUCUUAGAUGAAUUUGAGUAAUUCAUUGUUGGUGCAAUGCUGCCUUAAGUUGGAGCUAUUAAUUAGUUGUACUUCUUUAUUGAACUUGGUUGAUUUGUAUGCCAGUAUCAUCUAAGGCACUGAAUUUGUAUGACUGCUUUUAGUUAACUGAAUUUGUAUGACUGCCCAAGUUAUGUUGUUGCAAGGUGUUAUUAGACUGAAUUUGCUUUUAGUUAACUCAAUUUUCUCUCUCUGUUUGCAUGUCCAGUUUCCUGAAUUUAUAGUUAAAUGGAUUAUGAGUCUAACUGAAUUCUAGUUAACUGUAUCAGUUAACUAUAGAGUUAACUGUAUUUGUUUCAGUUAACAUGACUUUAACUGAAGAUAAGUUAUUUAACUGUAUUUGUUUCAGUUAACAUGAGUUUAACUGAACUCUAGUAAAAAAUGUGCAGAAUUGGAACUAAACAGAGAAUAAGUAGUAUAGAUUUAGUACAUUGCAAUAAGAGUAUACUGACUCAUACAUAGAUAGAACACUGACUCAUAUAUAGAUAAAACUCUGACUCAUACAUAGAUAAAACACACUCACUCAUACAUAGAUAAAACACUCACUCAUACAUAGAUAGAGUUGCAUUGACAUGCAGUGCAUUCAUACAUAGAUAGAAGAGCCAGGAGCAAUGGGGUGUUUAAGAGCUCAAUCAUCUGGGUAGAGAAUCCUAGUCCACCUCAUCCUAGUGACCUAAAAAGGAUGGAGAUUAGCCCUCCUCCUUGCCCAGUAGAUGAUAUCAUCAUCACUAGGGUUUGAUCCAGGUGGGAAUGCCUCCAGGAACUGCUGUACAUCCUUGCGGUUGCGUGCUGCAAGGAUCCUCUCUGCCAGUUCCCUUCUUUGCAACCUUCUUGCCUCUCUACGCCUAGCUCCACUGGGUACCUCUUCUGCAUCUACUACCUCUCCAGGAUCCAUGUCCUCCUAGGGUUCUCUCUGGCGGCUGGGGGAAGGAGAAGUGAGGGAUUUGGCUUUGACUGGUGUUUGUGCCAAUUGGGUAUGCUUUAUAUAGAAGUAAGAGGGGUGGGUGGUAGGUAGGCAGAGGUAAAUAUUAGGCAGGGAAUUAAAAACAAGCCAAUUUAGUUACUGACUAAUAUUAGUUACUGGCUAAUAUUAGUUACUGGCUAAUAUUAGUUACUGGCUAAAUUUAGCUAAUUUGUAUUCAGUAAGUAUAACUUAAUUUGUAUUCAGUACACUAAUUUUAACUUAAUUUGUAUUUGUAUUUAGUAAGCUUAACUGAAUUGUUUCAGUAAACUCAUUUUAACUGAAUUUGUAUUUGUAUUCAGUAAGCUUAACUGAAUUUGUUUCAGUAAACUCAUUUUAACUGAACAGCAACAUUUUGUAGCAGCAUAUACAACUAACAACAGCACCAACAACAUAUGAAAGCAACAGAUGGCAACAUAUACAUAUAACUUAGGUAGUUGCAGCAUAAGUUCAACCCAUAGGCAGUUGCAGCAGUAGUUCAACACAUACCAAAAGUUCAACCCAUACUGAUAUGCUAACUUAUAUGCUACUCAGCAUACCUAACUACAUUCUGCAGUCUUCAGUUCUUCAGUUCUUGAGCUCCUUCAGACGCUGGGAGCGGCGCACCUCCCCUGCAACUUGAAUCUUCGUCGGCUUCUUCCUCUUCUUCGAGCCAUCCCGUGCUUGCCCGCCAGGCACCUCUGGUAGCAGGUCCACGUCAAUGGGGAGGUCUCUGUCGCCCUCGUUGCCGGCGACGACGGGAGGCAGCAUGACGACGUCGUCUGGCUCGUCGUCAGAUAGCACCACCACCUCUAUCUCCUCCUCGCCUGAAGACUCGCUAUCCGGCUUGUAGCCAGAGUCAGAGUCGGAGUCGUCGGAGUAGGAUUCAUCGUCGGAGGAGGGUUGGACGUCGGAGACGUCGUCGUGGACUAGCAUGUCGGGCUUGAAGCGGUCCCAGUAGGCGGUGUUGACCGGCGCGGGGAGGGCGAGGACGAAGUCGUCGACGCGCUGCAUUCUGGAGGCAACACGGAACGGAUCCGGGUGCGGCGACGGCGUGGUGGCGGAGCGGUACAUCCACCACCGCGCGCGCUGCCUCGGAUCGUCGGACCGCGUCUCGGCCAUCGCGAAGCGCAAGACCAGGACCGGAGCUACGCCGGGUGCGGGCAUGGCGCGACGCUUCUCGUCGUCAGUCAUGACCUUUACGAGGCCACGCGCGUGGUGGAGGAGCAUCUCGCCGGAGGGGAACCACCGCGCAAUCUCCUUCAGGUCCGUGCGGAGCGCGUCGUCGUCGCCGGCCAGAUCCUCGAUGGCCCUCUGCCAUGCGGGGGUGUUGUCCAUGGUGGCGGCGGCGGCGUGGAGCUCGGCGGCGAGGGUUUUCUUGGUGGAGCGGGGUGGCGGGGAGACCGAGGAGCGAGCUGCGACGUGGGUGGACUGGGAGCGAGGUGGAGUUGAGUGGAGUUGAGCUAGUGGAGUUGAGGUGGUUGGCUUUAAAGGCCUAGGAAACCGAAUCGGCGGAGCGACCGAGCUAGUGGAACGGUGGGUGUGCUUAACUAUAGUGUGUGGUACUAUCUAAAUAAAUCACUACUACUAUCACACUGGCAAUGCAGUUAGGUUUGCUAUUCACAGUUCCUGGGUUCGAUACCCAGGACAAACAAUUUUUUUCAAAAAAUAUUUUUAAUUAACAACAGCAGUAUUCACUCCAGUACUCACUUAACAACAACAGUAUUGAUUCCAAAACAAUUUUUAAAGUUUUUUUCAGUCAAUAGCACCAAAAUUCACUUCAGAUAACACCACAGAAUUCAGUUAAAUUCAGUGAACAACAAAAUUCAGAUAUGUUGCAACAUUCAGUUAUCUUCCAAGAUUCAAAUGUAUUCCAGCAUUCAGUUAACUCCUAAUUAUAAUAUUUAAUUACAAAAAGGGCAAUGUAUGCCAUGGUUUGCCAUCCAGAAAUUAGGCAAUAUAUGCCACAUUUUGCCAUCAACAAGGAGGCAAUAUAUGCCAUAGUUUGACAUAACAAAAAAGGCCAGUUUAUGAGUUACAUAAGUAUAGGCCUUAUCAAAAAAUGGUGCCUGAGAACUGCCACUAGAUCAGGCAGCAGGAAAAUCAUCAGGAGGAGCAUUUAGGUCAGGAAUAUGACUGGCAAUGUCAUCUCCAAACAUCAGCCACCAUGCCCUCUCACCUGCUUGGCCUCCUCUUCCUCUCCCUGCAUCUGAAUUUUCUCCUCUCCAUGCAUUCACAUUACUACCUCCUCUCCCUCUCCCAGCACCUGCAUUUGCUCCUCUCCCUCUCCCAGCACCUGCAUUUGCUCCUCUCCCUCUCUCAGCACCUGCAUUUGCUCCUCUUCCUCUCUCAGCACCUGCAUUUGCUCCUCUCCCUCUCCCAGUACCUGCACUUGCUCCCUCCACUGACCCUGCAUCUGCACUGGCACCUCUUCCUAGAGCUGAAACUCCACUUGCUCCCCUUCCUCUUCUUGCAUUUGGAUGUACCUCUCCUCCGCCUCUCCUUUUCUUUCCUCUUGCAAUGUCAGUUGUAGUUCUUGCCCUGGUCUGCCUAGCAAUAUUCAUUUCUGUAGUCACCCUGGGUUGUGGUAUUUUAGCCCCAGCAGUAGCAACAAAUGAAGAGAGCUCAGGCAGUGGGCCAUGGACCCUUUGAGAAGGUCUUCUUGCUCUUUCCCUGCUGGCCAUGUUAAAAACCAUACUAGUUGGUGACUCAGUAGGAUCCAACCUAGGAUCUGGCCUGUUUGGAAAGAUGUUUUGCAAAGAAAGAUGUUCAGAUAAGCUCAUUUUUGGGAGUUCAUGCAUUAGAGCCAACUGUGCAAAAUGAGAUGCAACAGAAGCAUACCUGAAGAAAUGUUGGAUCAUCAUAGUUAUCAUCAACAAGCUCUACUCCUUCUGCAACUAGUGCUUCCUGCCACCUGUAGUGCCCUUUCCUGUUGUGGUCAGCUCUGCCACAAAUUGAGCAGUGCAUUGUCACACCUUUUUUGUUCAAAUAUCUAACACCAUUCCUGCUUCUCUUCUCUUCUGGUGUUUUCUUCCUGUUUUUCUUUGGCCUUCCCAACUGUUUAGUGAAAACUGGUGGAUAUACUUUGUCUCCAUUCUGUUUCUCCCAAUGCUUUGGAUCUUUAAGUGGAACCAGAGUGUAUCCAUAUGCUUUCAGAUAAUUCUCCACACUGUAGCAGUCAUGAACCAUUGUCACUGGGUCAAUUCUCUCCUCCCUGCAGCAUGCUAUGGCCACAUGGUACUCCAGAGAGCUGCCAUCUCUUGCAGUCACAAGUGUGCAAGCACAAGUCAACUGUAUAACUAGAGUUACCAGACUGAACUCUGAACAAUUGUUGGCCAGCUUCAGAGACAUGGCAAUUAGCAGCAAACUCAGUGUUCUUGUCUAGUUUCUUCUUGAUCUUUGGGCAUAUUCUCUGCCCUGCCCACUUAUCUAUGGCCUCUCUCUGUUUACUCACUAGCCUUUGCAUGAUCUUGUAAAAAAUGUAUUCCAGCAUGGACAGCACUGGCAUCUCUCUGCCCUCCAGAAUGUAGCUGUUAAAAACUUCAGAGUUAUUGUUCAGCAGAAUAUCACACUUGGGAAAGACACUAAAAAUGAUUUACACCAUGUCUUUGGAUCAAGUCUUUCAGUCCAGUGGAAGGCAGCUGCACUGUGUCCAUCCAUUUUCUCACAGUUUUGGCUCCACUUAACCCUGUUUGGUGCUCUUGCAAUGGCCCACAUAUCUUGCUUCAGUUGCUCUCCUUUGUGCUUCUCAUUGAAAUUCUGAUAAAUAUGCAUAACACAAAACCUAUGCUCAGCAUCUGGCCAGAUUUUUUGCACAGCAUUGAUCAAACCUUUCUGCUUGUCACUCAUAAUAGUGAAAGGAGCACUAUUUGUGAUGUUAAGGUCAUCUCUCAAUGUAGUGAGAAACCACUCCCAAGAACUGGUGCACUCUACUUCCACCCAACCCAUUGCAAUGGGGAAAAUGCAGUCAUUAGGAUCAAUACCCACUGCACUAAGCAACACUCCUUUAAACCUAUUUUUCAUGUGACAACCAUCAAUGAAAAUAAUAGGCCUGCAUCCCUUGAGCCAACCCCUUUUGCAUGCAUCAUAAGACCAAUAUAGAGUUUUCAGACAUUUCCUGCCCUGUGGGAAAUCUUUGUCUCUAACAACAUCAGUUGACAGAAGAAAUGUAGACCCAGGGUUGGUAUUCCUCAAUUCAUGACCAUAGUCCCUAAGCCUACUGAACUGCUCUUCUUCAUCACCAUGGAUCUCCUUAAGUGCUGCAGUUCUUGCCCUAGCUAGCUUCCAUCUGUUAGGGGUGACAUGAAAUUCAUUGGUGCUCUUUCUUGAAAAUGUACCUAGUGACAUCUUCUGGUCAUCUCUGAACUCAUUUAUGAAAUACUUGCACAGGAAUUUUGCUGUCAGUGACCUUAUCUUCCAUUUCUUCUGACAUAUAUGUUCUCCAUAGUAAGUCUUGAUGACAAACCCCCCUGUCCUAUUGUCAUUGCCAGCAUACAGAAACCAUGGGCAACCAUUUUCACAAACUGCUUCAAGUCUCCUCUUGUCAUUCUUUAUCUUCUUGAUCUGCACUCUUUUUCUAACUGAAUAUGCAGUCAGUGCAUGUCUUAGCUCAACCACAUCAGCAAAUACCAUCCCUACUUUAAACACAGGGGAAAUCAUGUCCACCUUUGCAUUGAAAGCUUUAAACUUGUACCUAAGUUCAUCUGCUUACUCAGUUGAUAGGUUGAGAUCUUCAUCCUCAAGCAAGUAUUCAGGCUCCACAUCAUCCUCAUCCUGAUCAGCUUCUUCAUCAACAUCAAAGUCAAUGUUGUCAUCAUAAAGAUCAUCAUCACCAUCAUCUAUGUCAUAGUCACUGUCACUGAAAUCAGAAUCUGAAACAACUACAUCUUCAAUAACUGUUUCUCCAUCUUCAGUUAGCAUGUUCUGCUCAGCACCCUCAAUAAGCAAACUAUGUGGGUCUGUUCCAAUUGGUGCAAUCUCUAACAAGGGAUCUUCAGUUAGCAUGUUCUGCUCAGCACCCUCAAUAAGCAAACUCUCUGGGUCUGUUGCAUUUGCUGCAAUCUCUGACAAAGGAUCUUCUACAAAGACUGAAACUAGGCUAUGGGAAGGGGAUGCACUUCCUGCUGCAAAACUUGUUGUUGAUGUUAUGAAAGAUAGGGGCAAUGUGCACACCAAGUCAGACCUGAAGUUGCUGAUGAAAUCUGUAUGGUCAACCAUGACUACAAGCAUCUUAUGCUCAGCACUAGCUCUGAUAAUAUGCUGCACAUCAUCAUCACUGCUAAUUCUGAUCAAACCAUCUGAGAUUGGUUUAUUUGGUUUGCUGAAGUAAAUGAUGUGCUCACUCACAGGAUAUCCCAACCAAACCAAGUGUUGUUCAAGGAAUGCAUAAGAGAAAGUGCCAGAGUCAACAAAGUCUAGCACCUCAACAGAAGGGUUCCAGUACUCCAGGUUUGUGAUUGGGCCACAGAAAAUUCCUCCAUGCUCAAGUUCCAGUGUAAAAAAUGGACUGUCCACCCUUUCUCCAUUUGCUGCAUCACACACUGUAUUCAAAACAAACAUGCAUCAGCUGAGAAACAAAUAUUCAGUUAACUUACAGUAAGCUCAAGAAGAUUCAGUUAACUACAGUACUUGACAAAAUUCUGAUAACUACAGUAACUGAAAAUAUUCAGUUAACUACAGUAACUGAACAUGGUUAAUUACAGUAACUGAAAACAUUCAGUUAACUGAACAUAUUCAGUUAACUACACAAACUGAACAUUAUCACAGCUAGUGCAACAUUAACUGAGCAUAUUCAGUUACUGUAGUUAACUGAAUGUUUUCAGUAACUGUAGUAACUGAACUACAGAUAACUGAACAUAUUCAGUGAACUUAUAUAAACUAACCAUAAAUGAAAUACAAGAUUAGCACAACAUUAACACAAACCAUUCAAUUCACUGAAACUUAGCUGCACAUACCAUUAGCAUUACCAAAACAAUCACUAAAUGGUGUAACAAAAUAGCCAAGUUUAUAUUCUGUACAAAACAACUUCAACAGCAAAAAGGAGUUAAAUUUCACAACACGAACAGAUGCUUGAGUACAGAACAUGCUAAAGCAGAACAAAAAGCCAACUACAAAGGCAUUAACAUCUAAUUUGUCCGCCAUAAACCCGAGCUAUCGUGUCGAACCCAAACCUAAAUUCCUAGGCCGAAACCCUAGCUCCACUUCGCCAUACAUUACCCUCCUCAGAAAACACCACUAGUAGACCCCGAUUCGAGCACAAAUGGACGCGAUUCGAGCUGCAAACGGCGGGGCGACGAGCCCAGCGGAGCAAAGCAGAGCAGAGGAGAGGAGAGGAGCAGAGACGGGGCGUCGAGCUCACAGUAAUCAGGAGGGAAUGCACCCAACGGCCGGACGAGAUGAGCAGAUGCCGGCAUCUCCACGCCGCCGGCAAACGGCGGCGACGACGCCUCCGUCGAUGACGUCACCAUCGCCCCGCCAGCCCGUGAGCUCUGUCGGCCCGACAGCGACCAGCUCUCGCCCGGACAUGAACUCGAUUCCGACAGAUUUAAUUCAGGUGUGCUAUACUGCGGGUUGAUUCAGUGAAACGGCAGGGGGUUGUGCAAAACUGCGCGCGCUGACCGGUCCAGCCACUUGGCAGCCAAUUGGCGAGCUCUGAUUGGCCUGGGACUAAAUCAUCACAUUGGUUGCAAGUUGAGGUAUGGUUUGAUCAAAUUUUGCAACUUUGGUACUAAAUCAUCACGUUGGAUGCAAGUUAGGGUACCGGGGGUGCUAUUACCUCUACUCCUAUUACCGUGGCAGAUGGCUGUUACGAGCCUAAGCGACAGGCUGAAUCGACGCGAGCCUAGGCUCUGCACAGGUUUGGUCGUUUCCGCUCACAAGGUAUGCGGAGCCAUGCCCGUGAGGCCGUGGGCCCGUGAUGCGUGCAGUGAGUCGUUGGUGAUCUUCUGUGGUCAUUUGUACAUCAUAUUCGUAAUUUUUGUCAUAGAGAAUCCCGCAUCAAAUAAAGCUGCAUGUGAAACGAGAUGUAGCUGAGACAACUUUUUUCCAACGCCCGGCCGGACAGGGUAAUAUGCGUAGUCUUCCAUGUCGCCAAUGUCAGGCGUGUCACGUGUUUGUUUCCUAUCAUGAAAAAAAAAACCUUUGUUGAGCAUUUGCGGUUCAUGUAUUGCUAUUAUCGUACAGUUAAAUCUACUCUAUUUUGAGCUAUGCGUACGUGUACUUAAAACAAAAUGAGAGAUGUACACGGACUCCUGUUAGAGCAUCUACAUCCGGGAAUUCUAAACCCGCCAUAAACGCCCGGAUGGGCCGCCCGCCCGGUCACCGACCGAUCACAAAAUUUCGACCCGGCCGAGCACCAAACGGGUCUCAAACGUUCGGGCUGACCGGCAUCCUCAUAUUCAGCCCAAAUAUGGGGCGAAUAUGGGGGGCGCCUGGGCGCAUCCGCCAGGUCGGACUGACGUCGGGGUCCCAUGCGGAAUCGCCCGGAAAACCGACGGUCUGAAACUUGUCUCCUCCGUCGGACCGAUGUUGUCGUGUGGCGCUGCUCCGGCGUGCCGCGUAGUGCCUAGCCCGACUAUUUAAGCCGACCGUCGGCACCGAAACCCUACCCCUCCACAUUUUCCUCCGCCCGUCCGCCGCCGCCACCACUUUCCACUCCCCAUCCGCCACCAGUAAUAGCCAUGCCCCCACGUCACCGGAUAAGGGACCCACCCAUUUCUAUCGCCGGAGCGCCGGUUACAACUCCUUGAGCAGAUCCUGGCAAGGUGCGAAGCCCGGAUCGCCGCGGGGCUACCUCCGGAUGGAGUGGAUCCGGAGGAGGAGUUGGAGGUGGAAGAAGUGGUGCAUCCUCUCAAGUCCGUAGUUAGUCCUGUUGGUGUAGGUUGUCUUGUAGGGUGAUGGCCGCAGCAUGGCGUUGCAUCUGCUUGCUAUCGUUGCUGCCUUUGAGUGUGUUUCGCUUUGCUCCUUGUAUCAGCCGCUUUGCUAAUUCAAAGCCGGGCUCUUCUUGAGCCUUCGUUCUAAAUAUUAAAAAAAUAGCAUAGCAUAGGUGGUCUUAUUUUGCCGGGCCAUGGCGGAGAGGCGGAUGGCGAGAGGGAGGGAAGUGGAUGAUGGGAUCAGGCUAGCGGCACGGAAAGGGGGAAAGUGGAUGUGGCCAUGUAGGAUAAGGCUGAACAGUUUGAGACGUCCGGUUGUAGAUGCUCUUACCCCCAUAGAAAAAGUGUGAUCGCAUAUAUAUAAUACUCCCUCUGUCCAGAAAUACUUGUCUUAGAAAUGGUUGAAAAUGAAUGUAUCUAUAACUAAAAUAAGUCUAGAUACAACCAUUUCUAGGACAAGUAUUUCCGGACGGAUGGAGUAUUUAAUAAGAAUAAUGGGCAUUGUACAAACCAGAGGCGUCAUAAGCAUCUCGAACAUGUACAACGUGCCAAGUACACGAUCACUUCAUCAUGUACCUUACCCAUGAACGUUUGAAAAUGGAUCCCGUGCUGUACCAAGUACUAGUGUACAUGAUAAACCCCCGACUUUGUACCUCGCACAAGUAACCUAUCUCUGGCAUGUGUGAGCAUCGUGUACCUUUCCCAUAAACGUUGAAUCUACAUGACCAUUAUGUGCCAAGCACAUGAUCGGUGUUUUGCAUUUCUUUCUUAUGAAAAUUAUUAUUCCAAAGUAGUCAGUUUGUGAAAUAAUCACUUUCACUCUUCUGUUCUUAUUUCAAGUAUUUUAAAAUAUGUAGAAAUAUUUCAGUUUGUAAUAAUCAGUUUCACUCUUUUCUGCUUAUUUCACAUAGUGAAGAGUGAAAAUGUACUGAACAUCAGUAAGUAGGACCAUUAUAUGUAGCCAUCUCCCCUGUCUGAUUCGUAUUCUUCAGGUAUCGUGGGCAGUUUUUUUACAAGGUCGUGGGCAGUUUGUUGAUUUUGCUGUAAUUCUGGGCAAAAACAAAACAGAGAUAAAUCAACAAUAUGCCGUGAAUAGCAUAAACGGAGCCGCUGGCAGAUACGAUGAAACAUGCAUUUUUGUGGUACUUCCAAGUACGAUACUGCUGACAGGUUAAGCCCCUCAAUCCCAAUUAGAGCCAACAACCUCCACAUCAGUAUAAUUUCCAUAAACAUUAAAAUAGAUGGACAUGGAGGUACUGCCGCAAUCGUGCUACACACAUCAUCAAUCGUGUCGCACUCUCCACUGAACAAAAACAACCAAUGUUGUAUCUUGCAUCCAAGGAGUACAUGGCUGUACUUUGCACAUCAUAAAUGCAAUCUGCAAAAUCUAGUCAUCUGCGCCAAGAACUACCCACUUUCUGUACACCUUUCACAACCAAGCCCAUGUACACUGCGACUGAUACUGGGGCAAGAAUACAGUACCUGCAUGAUUAUCCAGGUUGGACUGACUCUGGUCUGCUCUCUGCCUCACGUCAGAAGAACCCUGGAUAGAUAAAUCGGAAGCUGUACAGGAUUUGUAUCCAGAGUCAAAUAUAGCAAUGGCGCGGUCAAGUCAGAUCACCUUAUUCGCACACCUUAGUCUGUUAAUAGCCCUUAUGUAUUGGUGAGCUUUACAUAUUGUCGAAAUUCAGACUUGCACCUUGGCCCAUCCCAUACACCCAAAAAGCCUAACUGUAAACAUUGAUUCAUCCACGAUAGGAACGUAUCAGCUAAUAUGUCCAUUCGAUCCACCUUACCAAGACUAGUCAAGACAGCCAGAGUAAACGUGCCCCAACCCCGUUCGAUAAAUACAGAUCAAGCCAGCCUGCCAUCUUACCUGCAUAUGAUGACGGAUUGCAGAUGAACACCUGAGAUCUAUUGCUGCCCCAACUCCGUUUCCAAUCUGGCCUGCAGCGCAAAUAGAUCCAUGAAUGAUCACCAUCCUGCUAUGCGCCCAAUGGCAAAGUACAUCCCGACAACCAGAGAAACCAUGCGCACGGCUGAAGUGAGGUAUUUACCUUCGAUAGAUCCGUACAAUGGCCGGCUGGGCGAGAUGUCGAGGGCGGCGGUGCCCGCUGCCGCCCCGGCGCUGGGUUUCCCCGGCGGCCCGCCCGUCCCGGUGCCUCCUCGCCGCACCAGAACCUCCUGCGUCUCGCUCAGGAUCGGGUCCCCUCGGCCUCUCUGCCCCUGCUGAAUCCCCCUCCCCCGCCGGCUAGCCUGCUCCUAGAGAUAAAGGGGGGCGCAUAUAGACCAGAGUCACGGGCCGUGUCCCAUAGCUGUUUGUCUCGUUUCUAGCUGAUGAACAGUACCCUACGCUAUGUAGUAGGCGAGAUCACGGACGAAGGACCUGCUAACCCGACCGAUAUAACCGUGGCCUGGCAAACUUACGGUAGCGGCUGGCACAUAUCACGAG